UACGUAGGGAGCAAGCGUUGUUCGGAUUUACUGGGCGUAAAGCGCGCGUAGGCGGUUUGUCGCGUCUGCCGUGAAAGUCCGGGGCUCAACUCCGGAUCUGCGGUGGGUACGGGCAGACUAGAGUGAUGUAGGGGAGACUGGAAUUCCUGGUGUAGCGGUGAAAAUGCGCCAGAUAUCAGGAGGAACACCGAUGGCGAAGGCAGGUCUCUGGGCAUUAACUGACGCUGAGGAGCGAAAGCAUGGGGAGCGAACGGAUAGACUAC
rnacentral:rRNA from 1 species